rnacentral:rRNA from 1 species
AGAGUUUGAUCCUGGCUCAGAACGAACGCUGGCGGCGUGCUUAACACAUGCAAGUCGCGUGCGCAGUUUCCGUAGCAAUACGGGGAUCGGCGCACGGCGCACGGGUGCGUAACACGUGGGCAAUCUGCCCUCCGAUGGGGAAUACCCCCGCGAAAGCGGGACUAAUUCCGCAUAACAUUCCGAGAACUUCGGCUCUUGGACUCAAAGGCGUAAGUCGUCGGAGGAGGAGCCCGCGCACGAUUAGCUAGUUGGUAGGGUAAUGGCCUACCAAGGCUAUGAUCGUUAGCUGGUCUGAGAGGAUGGCCAGCCACACUGGAACUGAGACACGGUCCAGACUCCUACGGGAGGCAGCAGUGGGGAAUCUUGCACAAUGGGCGAAAGCCUGAUGCAGCGACGCCGCGUGGGGGAUGAAGCUUCUCGGAGUGUAAACCCCUUUCGACCCGGACGAAUACCUCGCAAGAGGGGUGACGGUACGGGUAUAAGAAGCCCCGGCUAACUACGUGCCAGCAGCCGCGGUAAGACGUGGGGGGCCAGCGUUGUUCGGAAUUACUGGGUGUAAAGGGUUCGUAGGCGGUGUGGCAAGUCGGGAGUGAAAUCUCUGGGCUCAACCCAGAGACUGCUUCCGAAACUGCUGUGCUGGAGUGUGGGAGAGGCGCGUGGAAUUGCAGGUGUAGCGGUGAAAUGCGUAGAUAUCUGCAGGAACACCCGUGGCGAAAGCGGCGCGCUGGACCACUACUGACGCUGAGGAACGAAAGCUAGGGGAGCAAACAGGAUUAGAUACCCUGGUAGUCCUAGCCCUAAACGAUCAGGACUUGGGGUGCCACCCGUUCGGGUGUCGUCCCGGAGCUAACGCGUUAAGUCCUGCACCUGGGGAGUACGGUCGCAAGACUGAAACUCAAAGGAAUUGACGG